rnacentral:rRNA from 1 species
UACAUGAAGCUGGAAUCGCUAGUAAUCGCAGAUCAGAAUGCUGCGGUGAAUACGUUCCCGGGUCUUGUACACACCGCCCGUCACACCAUGGGAGCCGGGAAUGCCCGAAGUCGGUGACCCAACCGUAAGGAGGGAGCCGCCGAAGGCAGGCCUGGUAACUGGGGUGAAGUCGUAACAAGGUAAC